rnacentral:rRNA from 1 species
UACGAAGGGGGCUAGCGUUGUUCGGAAUCACUGGGCGUAAAGGGCGUGUAGGCGGUUCGGUAAGUGGGAUGUGAAAUCCCCGGGCUCACCCCGGGACCUGCAUCCCAAACUGCUGAGCUUGAGUACAGGAGAGGGUGGGGAAUUCCAGGUGUAGCGGUGAAAUGCGUAGAUAUCUGGAGGAACAUCCGUGGCGAAGGCGGCUACCUGGCCCAAUACUGACACUCAGGUGCGACAGCGUGGGGAGCAAACAGG